GAGUUUGAUCAUGGCUCAGAUUGAACGCUGGCGGCAUGCCUUACACAUGCAAGUCGAACGGCAGCACGGGAGCUUGCUCCUGGUGGCGAGUGGCGAACGGGUGAGUAAUGCAUCGGAACGUAUCCUGGAGUGGGGGAUAACGUAGCGAAAGUUACGCUGAUACCGCAUAUUCUGUGAGCAGGAAAGCGGGGGACCUUCGGGCCUCGCGCUCUUGGAGCGGCCGAUGUCGGAUUAGCUAGUUGGUGAGGUAAAGGCUCACCAAGGCGACGAUCCGUAGCAGGUCUGAGAGGAUGAUCUGCCACACUGGAACUGAGACACGGUCCAGACUCCUACGGGAGGCAGCAGUGGGGAAUUUUGGACAAUGGGGGCAACCCUGAUCCAGCCAUGCCGCGUGAGUGAAGAAGGCC
rnacentral:rRNA from 1 species